GAUGAACGCUGGCGGCGUGCCUAAUACAUGCAAGUCGAGCGAACAGACGAGGCUCUUGCUCCUCUGACGUUAGCGGCGGACGUGUGAGUAACACGUGUAUCAUCUACCUAUAAGACUGGGAUCACUUCGGGACACCGGAUCUAAUACCGUAUAAUCUAUUGAUCCGCAUGGUUCGUUAGUGAAAUACGGUUGUGCGGUCACUUCUAGAUGGUUCCGCGCCGCAUUAGCUAGUUGGUAAGGUAACGGCUUACCAAGGCAACGAUGCGUAGACGAACUGAGAGGGGGAUAGGCCACAAUGGAAGUGAAACACGCUCAAUACGACUACGAGAGGCAGCAGUAUGGAAUCUGACGCAAUAGGCGGAAGCAUGGCGGAGCAAGGCCGCGUGAGUGAUGAAGGUCUUGGGAUCGGAAAAAUGUGUUAUUAGUGAAGAACAAAUGUGUAAGGAAAUGUGCACGUAUUGACGGUACCUAAUAAGAAAGCAACGGCUAACUACGUG
rnacentral:rRNA from 1 species